rnacentral:tRNA from 1 species
UUAGCUCAGUUGGUAGAGCAGUUGACUUUUAAUCAAUUGGUCGCAGGUUCGAAUCCUGAAA